rnacentral:lncRNA from 1 species
GAGCUCUGCGGCCGCGAGGUCGCGGCUCCCGAUGGAAAUCCUAUGACACAGACAAUUUGGGUGAUAUCUGCAGGAAAGAGCUUUAAACAUUACAGAAGACAAAAAACACUAAUGCAUUUGAGAAAACGAUAAAAGUUGGGGGGAGGAGGAGAAAAAGCAACUGCUUUCCUGAUCUGCUACUUGACUGGAUGUUAAGAUGUCCGUGGACAUGAACAGCCAAGGGUCUGACAGCAAUGAAGAGGACUAUGACCCAAACUGUGAGGAAGAGGAAGAAGAGGAAGAGGACCCUGGGGACAUAGAGGACUACUAUGUGGGAGUAGCCAGUGAUGUGGAGCAGCAGGGGGCUGAUGCUUUUGAUCCCGAAGAGUAUCAAUUCACUUGCUUGACCUAUAAGGAGUCUGAGGGCGCCCUCCAUGAGCAUAUGACCAGCUUAGCCUCUGCCUUAAAGGUGAGUAGUGCUGCCAGUUCAAAUGUAACCUCUCAGGUGAAUUGAAGAAAAUCUCUUGUUAAUCACUCUUACAUACUGAUUGAAUGGUCUUGUAGCUUGAAACCCAAAGCUUAUGUGUAUCACAUCAUUUGGAUAUUUUGUCACAUUUACUUGUUUUAAAAUACAACCGUGUUCAGGGUAAAAAGGUAUAGAAUAAAUUUAAGAUCAGAAGUAUA